rnacentral:rRNA from 1 species
UCGGUAUGUACUGGCUUUACUGAUUCCUCCUUCUUGACGAACCGUGAUGUCAUUAAUUUGAUGUUGCGGGAAAUCAGGACUGUUACUUUGAAAAAAUUAGAGUGUUUAAAGCAGGCUAACGCUUGAAUACAUUAGCAUGGAAUAAUGAAAUAGGACGUUAAUCCUAUUUUGUUGGUUUCUAGGAUCGACGUAAUGAUUAAUAGGGAUAGUUGGGGGCAUUAGUAUUCAAUUGUCAGAGGUGAAAUUCUUGGAUUUAUUGAAGACUAACUACUGCGAAAGCAUUUGCCAAGGAUGUUUUCAUUAAUCAAGAACGAAAGUUAGGGGAUCGAAGACGAUCAGAUACCGUCGUAGUCUUAACCAUAAACUAUGCCAACAAGGGAUCGGAUGAUGUUAUUUUUAAGGGCUCA